GAUGAACCGUGCGAACGUUGUUCGGAAUCACUGGGCUUAAAGGGUGCGUAGGCGGGCGAUCAAGUCAGGGGUGAAAUCCUCCAGCUUAACUGGAGAACUGCCUUUGAUACUGGUCAUCUUGAGUGAGGUAGGGGCGUGCGGAACUGAUGGUGGAGCGGUGAAAUGUGUUGAUAUCAUCAGGAACUCCGGUGGCGAAAGCGGCGCGCUGGACCUUUACUGACGCUGAGGCACGAAAGCCAGGGGAGCAAACAGG
rnacentral:rRNA from 1 species